UACGUAGGGUGCAAGCGUUAAUCGGAAUUACUGGGCGUAAAGCGUGCGCAGGCGGCUGUGCAAGACCGAUGUGAAAUCCCCGGGCUUAACCUGGGAAUGGCAUUGGUGACUGUACGGCUAGAGUGUGUCAGAGGGGGGGUAGAAUUCCACGUGUAGCAGUGAAAUGCGUAGAGAUGUGGAGGAAUACCGAUGGCGAAGGCAGCCCCCUGGGAUAACACUGACGCUCAUGCACGAAAGCGUGGGGAGCAAACAGG
rnacentral:rRNA from 1 species